rnacentral:rRNA from 1 species
GGAGCAGGCUUCCAGGAAAAGCUUCUAGCACAACACGCAUCGGCCCGUACCGAAAAUGGACACACAUGGGCAAGGAGAGAAUCCUGAGGUGAGCGAGAGAAUUAUAGCUAAGGAACUCUGCAAAAUGACCCCGUAACUUAGGGAGAAGGGGUGCUCCAGAAAUGGAGCCGCAGUAAAACGGCCCAAGCGACUGUUUACCAAAAACACAGCUCUCUGCGAAGGCGCAAGCCGAAGUAUAGGGGGUGACGCCUGCCCGGUGCUGGAAGGUCAAGGGGAGCUGUCAGCGCAAGCGAAGCAGCGAGCCGAAGCCCCAGUAAACGGCGGCCGUAACGAUAACGGUCCUAAGGUAGCGAAAUUCCUUGUCGGGCAAGUUCCGACCCGCACGAAAGGCGUAACGAUUUGGGCGCUGUCUCAGCUGUAGACUCGGUGAAGUCUUAGUACCUGUGAAGAUGCAGGUUGCCCGCGACUAGACGGAAAGACCCCAUGGAGCUUCACUGCAGGUUGACAUUGGGCUUGGAUGCAUGAUGUACAGGAUAGGUGGGAGGCUGUGAGCCGUGCGCGCCAGCGUACGGGGAGCCGCUGUUGGGAUACCACCCUUCAUGCAUCUAGGUCCUAACCGGAGGCAACGGGCCACGGGACAGUGUCAGUCGGGCAGUUUGACUGGGGCGGUCGCCUCCCAAAGAGUAACGGAGGCGCCCAAAGAUACCCUCAGCAUGGAUGGAAACCAUGCAUAGAGUGCAAAGGCAUAAGGGUGUCUGACUGCGAGACAUACAGGUCGAGCAGGGACGAAAGUCGGGCUUAGUGAUCCGGCGGAUCCGAAUGGAAGGGCCGUCGCUCAACGGAUAAAAGCUACCCUGGGGAUAACAGGCUGAUCUCCCCCAAGAGUUCACAUCGACGGGGAGGUUUGGCACCUCGAUGUCGGCUCAUCGCAUCCUGGAGCUGAAGUCGGUUCCAAGGGUUGGGCUGUUCGCCCAUUAAAGCGGUACGCGAGCUGGGUUCAGAACGUCGUGAGACAGUUCGGUCCCUAUCUGUCGUGGGCGCAGGAGGUUUGAGGAGAGCUGCCCCUAGUACGAGAGGACCGGGGUGGACGGACCGAUGGUGCACCAGUUGUCACGCCAGUGGCACAGCUGGGCAGCCAAGUCCGGACGGGAUAAGCGCUGAAGGCAUCUAAGCGUGAAGCCCCCUCCAAGAUGAGACCUCCCAUUGGCGACAAGUAAGGCCCCUCGAAGACGACGAGGUUGAUAGGCCGCGAGUGCAAGCGCAGCGAUGUGCUUAGCGGGGCGGUACUAAUAGGCCGAGGACUUGGCCAA